rnacentral:rRNA from 1 species
UACGUAGGGGGCAAGCGUUGUCCGGAUUUAUUGGGCGUAAAGAGCGUGUAGGCGGCUUCACAGGUCCGCUGUGAAAACCCGAGGCUCAACCUCGGGCCUGCAGUGGGUACGGGCAGACUAGAGUGCGGUAGGGGAGAUUGGAAUUCCUGGUGUAGCGGUGGAAUGCGCAGAUAUCAGGAGGAACACCAAUGGCGAAGGCAGAUCUCUGGGCCGUAACUGACGCUGAGGAGCGAAAGCAUGGGGAGCGAACAGG